GGGAUGUGUUUCGUCUUGCGAAAGAGAAUGCCCCGGCAAUUAUCUUCGUCGACGAGGUUGAUGCCAUAGCUACAGCUCGUUUUGAUGCACAGACUGGUGCUGACAGAGAAGUUCAGCGUAUCCUGAUGGAACUACUGAAUCAGAUGGAUGGAUUCGAUCAGACAGUAAAUGUCAAAGUAAUAAUGGCAACCAAUCGAGCAGAUACUUUGGACCCUGCACUUCUUCGUCCGGGAAGGCUUGAUAGGAAAAUUGAAUUCCCCUUGCCUGAUAGACGGCAGAAGAGGCUCGUUUUUCAGGUCUGUACUGCCAAGAUGAAUCUAAGCGACGAAGUUGAUCUGGAAGACUACGUCUCUCGACCUGACAAAAUUAGUGCAGCGGAGAUUUCUGCCAUAUGUCAAGAAGCAGGGAUGCAUGCUGUGAGGAAGAACCGAUAUGUGAUCCUUCCAAAGGACUUCGAGAAAGGAUACAGAACAAAUGUGAAGAAGCCGGAUACUGACUUCGACUUCUACAAGUGACGAGUCUGCUUGUGGAAAUUUCACUCUUAGUGUAUGUCAAGGCUAUUUAUUUCAGGAGACAGUUAUAAACUUUGCUUAGGAUAACUCAUGUAUCUUUA
rnacentral:misc_RNA from 1 species